rnacentral:lncRNA from 1 species
UAACCAUGAGUAAGCGUAGCUAAAUUUUUUAUUGUUGGGGUUAGAUAUAGUCAUUGUAUUCAUGUACUAAAUAGGUUAUGACAUUCUAUGUAAAUCUACUCAUGUUGUAAUAUUGAUGACUCUUUAACCUUAAUGUUUAUUUUAACUUUGCAACCUAAAACUUGUUUUCAUGGUGUGACCUGACAUCGAAAGGUGUUAAUCAUUACUAGAUCCAAUAUAAUCACCUAUUGAGUACUAACCCUAG